rnacentral:rRNA from 1 species
UAGGGAAUAUUGCACAAUGGGCGAAAGCCUGAUGCAGCAACGCCGCGUGCGCGAUGAAGGCCUUCGGGUCGUAAAGCGCUUUUCGGGGGGAUGGGGAAGGACAGUACCCCCGGAAUAAGUCUCGGCUAACUACGUGCCAGCAGCCGCGGUAAAACGUAGGAGGCAAGCGUUAUCCGGAUUCACUGGGCGUAAAGCGCAUGUAGGCGGUCCGGUAAGUCGGACGUGAAAGCUCCUGGCUCAACUGGGAGAGGCCGUUCGAAACUACCGGACUUGAGGGCAGUAGAGGGAGGUGGAAUUCCGGGUGUAGCGGUGAAAUGCGUAGAUAUCCGGAGGAACACCAGUGGCGAAGGCGGCCUCCUGGACUGCCCCUGACGCUCAGAUGCGAAAGCUAGGGGAGCGAACGGGAUUAGAAACCCCGGUAGUCCUAGCUGUAAACGAUGCGGACUUGGUGUUGGUGGCUUAAACUCCAUCAGUGCCGAAGCUAACGCGUUAAGUCCGCCGCCUGGGGACUACGGCCGCAAGGCUA